rnacentral:ncRNA from 1 species
GUUCCGACCUGCACGAAUGGCGUAACGACUUCCCCGCUGUCUCCAACGCAGACUCAGUGAAAUUGAAUUCCCCGUGAAGAUGCGGGGGGGUUCCUGCGGUUAGACGGAAAGACCCCGUGCACCUUUACUAUAGCUUUACACUGGCAUUCGUGUCGGCAUGUGUAGGAUAGGUGGUAGACUUUGAAGCAGUGGCGCCAGCCAUUGUGGAGUCAUCCUUGAAAUACCACCCUUGCCUAUAUGGAUGUCUAACUGCGGCCCGUUAUCCGGGUCCAGGACCGUGUAUGGUGGGUAGUUUGACUGGGGGGGCGGUCGCCUCCUAAAGAGUAACGGAGGCGCGCGAUGGUAGGCUCAGAACGGUCGGAAAUCGUUCGUCGAGUGCAAUGGCAUAAGCCUGCCUGACUGCAAGACUGACAAGUCGAGCAGAGACGAAAGUCGGUCAUAGUGAUCCGGUGGUCCCGCGUGGAAGGGCCAUCGCUCAACGGAUAAAAGGUACGCCGGGGGGGAUAACAGGCUGAUGACCCCCAAGAGUCCAUAUCGACGGGGGGGUUGUUUGGCACCUCGAUGUCGACUCAUCGCAUCCUGGGGGGGCUGGAGCAGGUCCCAAGGGUAUGGCUGUUCGCCAUUUAAAGCGGUACGUGAGUUGGGUUCAGAACGUCGUGAGACAGUUCGGUCCCUAUCUGCCGUGGGUGUAGGAAUAUUGACAGGAUCUGUCCCUAGUACGAGAGGACCGGGAUGGACGUAUCUCUGGUGGACCUGUUGUCGUGC